rnacentral:lncRNA from 1 species
AUGUCUGCCAGAUGGCUGACCCCGUGUUGGGAGGCCUCGAGGCCUUGUCUGCCCACAACCACUGCACAGAAACAUGUCAUUUGGAUGGAAAGUGCUCUUUCUAUAAGGGAGAACUUGUGCUGGAAUCAAGGGUGUUUGUGUGUGACACUAAUUUUUACCUGGAAGGCGGCUCAUAAUUCCUACAUGAUUUGGUUGGGUUUAAUGUUUUCCUGUCUUCUAAUGGACAAUAAUUUAAAUGGAUUUAUUAUCUAAACUAUUCCUCAGUUCAGGAUAUCAGUUCAGUUCAGGAUAUCACUUAGAAAAAUGGAACCAUAAAACGAGGUAUCCAUGAUGGAAAGCAAUCUGCAGGAGGAUCUGUGAGGAUCAUGGCAGCCUUCCUCCCUCCUGACUCCUCCCUGUGGAAUCUAAAGUAGUUUUUCAAAUUUGGAAAAUUUAUUAUAUUGCAAAUUGGAUUUCAUAUCUUAAUAGUAAAGAUAUCUUAAUAUAUUUCUUUACUCAAUUUAGAAAAAUUGCCAGGAGAAAAUAUGUCUGGUUUUACAGGCAGGUUCAGCCUAUGGUAUUUUCACAAGAGAACAGACUCCCUAGGAGGAGAGCUGGUCUGGGUGCCCAGGCCCAGGAUUCUCUCCUGUCCGGUCACAUGUGCCGUCCCUGUUGGGUCAGGAGAGCAGAGCCCACUGGGGCCUGGAGCUGACACCCCAUCUGGCACACCUGCUGCGUGAGGGUCUCCAGGCCCAGGACAGCCAUGCUGCUCCCCGCCAGCCUCUGGGUGGUGAGGAGCUUCUUUGCCCUCACACACCUUCCCUCCCUUCACUCCUAGGCCUGGGGAGACACUGCUCACCCUGAGUCUCCCUCUGAAACAUAGGGAAAUCUUAGUUGUUCAUUUACUGUAGGAUCCAUGCCUGUAGUGUGCGUACUCAGCAGGCCACAGAUCCCAUGGACCUCAAAACUUAAAUUAUGGGAUCUCUCAUUUCUAGGAGCCUUGUGUGUAGGAGAAGACCAACCAGUGUCACUGACAUAAUUGCUGUAGAGGAGCUGGGUCCCCAGUGCAGCAGAGGCCCCAGCGUUGAGGGCCUCCCAGCCUGGAGGGUGGUGUUGGCCAUGACAAAAAGGCAACAUCGCCAAACCCCGGAUGUGGGCGAGCUCAGGAAGGGGAGCUGAAGGUGUGGAGGCAUGCUUGUGAAUAGGGCACAUGCAUGCAGGCGUGCACACGGUGUGUGUGUGGGUACAGGUGGUUGAGAAUUGCAGCAAUGUGCAGUGUAGCAAAGACAGGGCUGGAGGCUGGAAAGCUGGACCGGGCCAGACCCUAACCAUCUCUCAUGCCUGGGGAAGGAGCAUAGAUUGACCUGCAGAGCCAAAGAGGUCCAGAGUGUCUGUGGCCGUGUGGCAGUAUUCAGGGCAUUGCCGAGGUGAGUCCUGCUGGCUAUCUCCCAAAGUCUUGUGUGAGACUGGUGUCAUGACUUCUUGGGGUUUAGAACUGUAACCUUUGAACUCUGCAAAUCUCAGGACAAAUUUAUCCUCAAUAAAUUCAUGAGAUAUGUGCAUAAAACCCAAAUGUGGCUUCAUUUCUUUUUUUUUUUAAAGAUUUUAUUUUUAUUUAUUUAUUCAUAGAGACAGAGACAGAGAGAGAGAGAGGCAGAGGCACGGGCAGAGGGAGAAGCAGGCUCCAUGCUGGGAACCUGACGUGGGACUCGAUCCCGGGUCUCCAGGAUCAGGCCCUGGGCUGCAGGCGGCGCUAAACGGCUGCGCCACCCGGGCUGCCCUGUGGCUUCAUUUCUGAUAUGAAAGAACAGUCAGAGGUUGAAGAGUAGCAAAAAUGUGUACACAGCAUGUUUCUCCACAUGGGCAGACCUGCUGGUUGUAGUCAGAGGGGUGGUGAGCACACAUGCCAACGGGACAAGUGGGUGAGCUGUGUCUUCAGGGGAUCCAUAGUGACCGUUCGAUCAUGGGAUAAGGACCCUAGGGGUCCAUUUCCUAGAACCAGCAGCCACCUUUAGGGCACCUUGUCAGGCAGUGUGGAGCUCUCAAGGCUUUCCCUGCCUUGGAUGGGGUGGCCUUGGCCUGAGCCACAGGUUUCUCCUAAAUCAUGGAUUUCAUAGUCAACCAAACUUGCAGAUUCCUGUUUCUCCUUCGGAAUGUUAGCAUGGCCGAUAAAGUUGUAGUCAGACUCAUUUAGCUGGGGUGGCACCUUUUCUCCUUCAGGAAACCUCAGUCCCUCAUCACUGCGUGGAUGGC